AGUGAACGCUGGCGGCGUGCUUAACACAUGCAAGUCGAACGGUAACAGCAGAAGCUUGCUUCUGGCUGACGAGUGGCGGACGGGUGAGUAAUGUAUAGAUACGUGCCCCAUAGACUAGGAUAGCCACUGGAAACGGUGAUUAAUACUGGAUACUCCUUACGAGGGAAAGCUUUUGCGCUAUGGGAUCGGUCUAUAUGGUAUCAGGUAGUUGGUGAGGUAAGAGCUCACCAAGCCAAUGACACCUAGCUGGUCUGAGAGGAUGAUCAGCCACACUGGAACUGAGACACGGUCCAG
rnacentral:rRNA from 1 species